AGUGAACGCUGGCGGUAGGCCUAACACAUGCAAGUCGAACGGCAGCACAGGAGAGCUUGCUCUCUGGGUGGCGAGUGGCGGACGGGUGAGGAAUACAUCGGAAUCUACUUUUUCGUGGGGGAUAACGUAGGGAAACUUACGCUAAUACCGCAUACGACCCACGGGUGAAAGCAGGGGACCUUCGGGCCUUGCGCGAUUGAAUGAGCCGAUGUCGGAUUAGCUAGUUGGCGGGGUAAAGGCCCACCAAGGCGACGAUCCGUAGCUGGUCUGAGAGGAUGAUCAGCCACACUGGAACUGAGACACGGUCCAGACUCCUACGGGAGGCAGCAGUGGGGAAUAUUGGACAAUGGGCGCAAGCCUGAUCCAGCCAUACCGCGUGGGUGAAGAAGGCCUUCGGGUUGUAAAGCCCUUUUGUCGGGAAAGAAAUCCAGCUGGCUAAUACCCGGUUGGGAUGACGGUACCCAAAGGAUAAGCACCGGCUAACUUCGUGCCAGCCGCCGCCGUAA
rnacentral:rRNA from 1 species